GGUUGAAUCCCACCCCACCAUUGAGCCCUGACCCUGGCACUUCAUCUUCUUGGGCAAGAAUGUCACAGUCGAACACGGAGUUCAAUGGGGGCUCAGAAGAAAGUCUCUCUCACCCCGACCUGCCUCACCACUGCUCUUCGGCCACAGCAACCAGCCCCUGAAGGCUGACUGAAGGAGAAAAGGAUGUCAUGUGCAGAACUCCCGUCACUGAGAUGUCUAAUCCAUGUCUGCAACAGACGGGGGCUCCAGAAAGAUCUAUGUGCCUGUGUGUCUACCCUCAGACUAAGUUUCUCGCAGCCCCGUACUCUUUCACCCUUCAGAAUGGAGCUUUAGUGGUAGAACACGUCUCCACCAAAGUGGGAGCUUCCUGAGGACGGGGGCGGAAUUUCAGAUUGGAGCUAGGAGGUCAAUGUCGGAGUCUCCUUCAUCACAGGGGGCGAGGCAGGGUCCGGUGCUGAGCCUCCCUCCUCCCUCAGGCGGGUGGAGGCCCCUCCCCCACUAGUAUAGCUCCCUGCCCACAGGGGGCGCUAAGGGCCCAGAGGACUGACCUACAGAUGGGUCCUGGUUUCUGGCGCUCUGAGCUGGCAGGUCCUCUGGGGUUGAUGCACCUGAGGAUUGGGGGGGUGGGGUCCCCAGCCUGUGUGGCUCCUGACUUGGCCCUUGCUCUGGCAGUCGAGGCCAGGCCUGCCGGCGCCAGAAGCUGUGGCCAACAGUGUGGGAGAAGCUCUGAGUCAGGGAUCGUGCCAGGAAGGAACGGUGUGGCCCUAGGUACCGAAGGGCCCUGUCCACGCCCCUCUCUCCCCAUAACCACAGCAGCCAAGCCCCCUGCCUCAUUAGCCUCACUAAAGGCCACUGCCCAGCCUUUGCUUGUUCUGUUCUGUCUGAAGCACCUGCUCUUCCUGUCCUCAAGGACACCUGAGGUCUCACCACUUCUGAAUGCUCUGACCUUCAACAGAGUAGGUAUGGCCAGGUGGAUCAUUUAACUCCUGAGGACCUCCGCAAUAACAUCUGUAAAAUGGGAAUGAUGAGAACACCAUUUAAACUUGGCUGUGAAGUUUAAAUGAGGUAAGUGGCUCAGGGUAGGCCCUUAAACCAACAAUACUAGGGAGGAGACCCUCCCAAUGUCCUGUCUCUGGGUGGUGGGUUUGCCUGAAAGAGCUGUCCUUGGACAUAAGCAGUGCUCAUUCUGGGCCUUACCUGAACAUGUACUCACCUCUGUCUUCCUUCCUUUCUUUGAUCUAACCCCAGGCCAGCCAUGGUGGGUGAUUGGGUGCCACUUCAGAUUGGCCUGGGGGUGUGCCUGGGAGGGGCUGGCUACUUGCCCCACCCCUACCUGUCUGGCACAGCAGGAGCUGAGUGCUGGCUUCCAGCCCCAGAGGGUAUGAGUCAGCCAGAGCCUCCCCAUCCAGGCAAACGCAGCUCAGGGGAUAGGAGCUUGGGUGGAGGGGCCUUCUAGGAACAUUCCUGGAAAAGGACCUGGGAACAGGCGUUGCUGCCCCAAGCCACCUCCUCAGCUUACCAGCCUGUGUCCAGCUCAGCAAAUAACCUUGUCUUUGCUUCCCACAGCUCACCCUCAGGAUUCAGGAGGCAAGGCCCCGCUUGCCUACUCGGGCUAGCCCUAAGCACUUCUUCAGCCACGGCAGGGAGCCAGGCCUGCCACCGUGCUGCCUUACUGCCCUCUUCAGCAAGUCUGGCAAGAUCUCUAGAACCGUGAACGCAGGGGACGCAUGCACACAUGCUCAUAUACAGGUGCCCAUGGCCAUAGAAGCACAACCAGAGCCACCAACGUAGACAUGUCCUGGCAAGCACAUGCACACACACAUGGUGCUCCCUCACACUAUACACACCCACACAGACACUCAUGUAUACUCACAUAUGAACCUGCUGAGUCAUAAUUGUUGUUGUUGGUUGAAUGUGUCCCUCAAAAGAUAUGUUGAAGUCUAACCCCCACUAUCUGGGAACUUGACCUUAGUCCCAAAUAAGGUCUUCAUAGAUAUAAUCAGGUUAAGAUCAGUUAGGGUGGACCCUAAAUCCAAUGACUAGUGUCCUUCUAGAAGGCUGUUUCUUCUCCUUCUAGGGAGAGAAAAAUUUGUAGACACAGACACAGAGACACACAGGGAAGAAAGUCAUGUGGUGAUGGAGGCAGAAAUUGUAGAGAUGCAGCUACAAGCCAAGGAACCCCAAGGAUUGUCUGCCACCACCAGAAGCUAGGAAAGAGGCAUGACGACUCUCCCUCAGAACACCCAGAAUAAACAAACCCCGUCAACUCCUUGAUUUCGGACU
rnacentral:lncRNA from 1 species